ensembl:lncRNA
AUAACUGACACAGUUAAUGCCCUGCAGAGCACUAGCAUUAUUUCCACUUGGUGUGUGGUGAGGGGGGUGAUGGAAGGGCAGGAUCAGACCUGGGGAGGUAUCUUGUGCCUGUUUCCUAAGUUUACAGUUUUGUGGUGAGCCAGCCCUCCUUGACUGCUUGUCACAUGCAGACUCGGCUUUCCUGGAAUGUCAGACAGCAGCACUCGCACCUCCGCAAUGUUGGGGGACAUCACCCAAGAAAUCAGUUGUCUUGAACAGUGCAAGUCUGACAACAAAUACCCGGAGUUCAGAGGAACACAUACAAGUUCAUUAAAUAAGCAGAAAAAAAGUGUGUGAUGAAAAGGCAAGUAGUUCCACCUAAGAAUUGGCAGCAAUUCAGUGGACAAAAGUAAAAGCAUAUAAUACAUCAUAGAAACCUUUUGUAUGGUUAAAGCAAAUUUUUUAAUUGCAAGGUAUUACUAUCAUUAAAUAGGAAGUAGCAAUUAUAUCAAAGUAUAUUCAUAAAAACAUAUCCCUGCUAUUAUCUUGUAAAAUGAGAUUUAAUGAAUGAACAAUAUAGGAAAUUUGUAAUGCAAUAAAAUAUGAUAAAUAUAUCUUCAUAGAUUAGAUUUUAUCUUUAAAAAUAAAAACUGCAAACUUUAUUAAGGAAAUCAGCAUUUUAAGGUGUGGACAACAAAUUGCUUUUACACGUUGUUGAUAUAUGUAUUCUUUCACUAUAUCAUCUACUUCUCAAAGCAAUGCGAAACCUAUUGUUAGGAUAUAUAUAAACUAUGAAGGAAAGCAAAUACCAGAGCAGACAAGAAUAAAAGGAGGAUACCUUUCUCCCAGCUGUUUCCUUUAGACUGUUAGAAGCUUGACUCACCAUUCUCAUUCUGUGGGAACAGCCUUUUAUCCAUACAUCUACUAAGCCAGUAUUGUCGUCUAGUACUUGGUGAAUCAGUUAUUCUAAAAGUUGUUGUACUGACAGCCUAUUAGAAGGCUGCCCCCAUUUUAGCCACAAUAAAAAUUUAUCAUAUUGUCUUAUAAAUGUCCAUGAACAUAACUCUAGCUCAUCUGUAUUCACAUGAACCUUCAACAUCCUUCACAGAUAACACAAGUAUUUCCUCCAACCACUUGCAACUGAUUUUUAUAACAUGAAAAUUCUCCCUUUACAGGCAAAUCUAAUUUUAUUUUAAACUUAUUUUUGGCUUUGCAAUCAGAUAAAUAGUACUUAACACAUUGCAUGUAUCAUACCAUAGGAACACCAUAGAAUAAUAUAAUGAAAACACCAACUACAUUUUAUUUCUCCUCUAUUAAAAACAAAAGGCAUUAAAUACAUAGCAAAAUAUCUUAACUAUUCUAAAAUAGUUGUAUUAACUAAAUAGAUCCUGCAGUCUUCAACUAUAUGUACAUAUAGUAUGUACAUAUAUAAUCUAGAGAUAAGAAUGGAGAAGCAAGCCAAAAAUAGAGAACAAACAGGCACUAUCAGGAAGGAAGAAGUAUUGUAUAAGAAGUGUAGAUAAACCUCAUGAGUCGUGUUUAAAAACAAAAACAAUAAAAUAACUCCUUGACUAAAGCCAAGCAGAAAUUGACCAUGCCACUGAUAUUUAUGCAAAUUCGGGAAUAAAAAUGCAACAUUUGUCCUAAAUACUAAUAAAAAUAUAUGAAUCAUAAAUUAAAUAAAGUUUGGUUUAUUAUACCUCAAAAUACAGAUAAAAGGAAUUGGAAUGUAGGUAAACUUGGUUUAUAUGAUUGGUUCUUUCUAGGUUUGUGCUCAAUUAGUUUUUUUUUAUUUCUGUAGGGUAAUUAUGUCGGAAGACAGCCCUGAAAACAGAUGAUGGGUGCACCAGCCUGUGAUGAACACCUACAAUUCAUUCACAUAGAGGCUCAUGCUUGAGAUCUAUUCUCCUCUGAUUUCUCCUUACUCUCAGGAGUUUAUAAAUAUCUUUCUACUGUAAUAAGCCAACAUAUACACAGUGGUAGGGAUGUGUAGAACCAAGACUGACUCUUCUUUCUUCCUCCCUCCCUCUUUCACUUCCUGAAAGGGGUAAACAAGCACAGUAGUUGAUCCUUUCCUCAUGGUUGCCAGAGGUAAAAUCUGGAAAGGCUGAACAACAAAAUAAAUUGGGCCUACCCAAUAAUUUCUAUUUUAAGAAUACUUGCUGAUUCUUGUAACCCUGCUGAAAAUGACACACACUUUGAGGCUUCAGAUCAGAUAUUCCUUGAUGUAUUUCAGGAGUGCAAUAAUGUUGAAAUAUAUUAAGAAAAAAACAUUCUUAGCCUCCUAACAGCAGAAAAUAAGUGCACAUGUUUAAAUUUUCAAGGGAACAGACUGGAGUUCUGGCAAAUGCUUUUUAAUAUUGCAAAUGGAAAACAAUGACUACACUGAGAGAGAUACAGAAACUCCCUCAUACAAUUCAAGCAAUAUAUUUCCUUUUCAUGAGUUCCUUUAGGCAAUUUGUGUCCUAAACCUGCAAAGGCAUGCAGAAGUUUAACUUAGUCUACAUACACGUUUCUACUUACAGCUUGCAAACUAAUAAAAAACUUUCAUCUGUUACAGCUAUGAGAUAUAUACUCACUGACUCCUCUCAUGUUAUUUUACUUACUUUUGUAUAACCUCAACCAUUAAAAAUAAAUUAAAAAAAAAAAGUAAAAUAAAGUGGAACACAUUGAAGGAGAAAAUAGAACUGUUGUAGUACACUAUUAAAAACACCUACCCCCUCAACUACUAGCAAAAAAAAAAAAAAAAAAAUGUGAGGGGAAGAUAAAAAUGAUUUGUGUUCUUACCUAUCUUGUGUUAUAUCAACAAUGAAACCCCCCACACACCAAAAGUGCAGUGGUAACGUUGUAGCUCAUUUACUGAAUCUUCUGGCAAUAGAAACUUAAGAGAUGUACGUCAUCCUGGCAUUACUUUUCUGCCAACUUAAUGUUUCAUGUAGGUUUUUUAAACUAAUUUAGAAAAAAAAAGGAAAAGAGUGGAGUCAGAAAAUAAAAUAAAGCACCUACACUGACACUAUUUGUAUUUUGACAUUAGACUUCUUAAUUACAUCUGAUUAAAUUUCUCAUGCUUUUACAUCCAUUGUUUUCCAUUGCUGGCAGUUUUCUAAAACACAUUUUUGCUUGUCUUCCUAGAACAAAUUAAAAUGGAUGGGAACAUGUUGGAGGCAAGGAGCAGCAAGGAAAGCAACAAUUAAAUGUUAAGUAACAAACUGGAUUUUCUAACAUCAACAGAAUUGACAGGCAUUUUAUUGUUGGUCUAUCAUUUUUAAAGUAUUAUUAUUUUACCUAAGUAUAAUACUGGUUUGGAGUAUUAGCUAGACGUAUAUUUAGACUAGAGAUUCCUUUUAAAGCAAGUUCUCUGUUGUUGUUUUUUUGUUGUUGUUGUUUGUUUGUUUGUUUUAGUAUUUAUUUAUACAAACACACCCUAUCUUUGAAAGGGAUCCCUGAUACUUUUUUUGAGUGCUAACUUUUCUCUGCAGGGCAUCACAUACUUCAAUAAAACCACAUAAAGUUGGGAGGCAGACAAGCAUUCAGUGAUUAGACGCAUCAGAGCUUACAUUACAGUCACUGACAUCCCAGUGUCAUUCAGAACACAGGCUGUAAAGCUGCUGGAAUUUCCACACUAACUAAUCUUAAGAAACUCCAUGCACUACGCUCAUUAUGGGACCCACACAGUUUCCUCCUAUGUCUCACUGGUCUUGCAACAAAGCUUACAAUCUCAUGGGAGUUCAGGAUAAACUGGUCGCUCAGAAGUACCACCUCACAUCUCAGUGGAACUGAAACCAGCAGCCAUGUUGUGAAAGCCUGUGAACAUCCCUUUCGUUAUAGACAGCUCUACAAGAAUCAGACAGACUUCACUUAUGUCAUUACUUAGGACUGCGACCUUUACCCUGUAAGGACUAUUCACAUCAAUUCAAGUCUCAGUGCUUUAAUUACUAAAAGCUGCUAGCAAAAGUUUAAUGAAUUAAAAAUCACUGAGAGAGGAUUGUUUUACAAGCUGACCUGCCUAAUGCUGUAUCUUUCUACUUUUGUCUCAGCACAUGCUGUCCAGAUCAGUGGCCACUUAAAAGAAAUGGCUGAGAUAGAUUGCGAGGGUUCAUAAUGUAGAUGUAGAAUGUAAUGGUAGAUUGUGAGGGUUCAUAAAAUCAUGCAGCCUGAAAGAGCAGUCCAUCUCUUUAACCUAUUGCUAACCUCCUGAGAAUUAGACAUUAAAACUUUAACUACUGACUCUUGUUCAUCCCCAGAAUUAAAAGGAAAGUAUAGGCAACUGCAGAAAUAUCCUAAACAUAGAACUUUUAAUAACAGAUGCUGCCUUUUGGAGGUUACUGCUUCUCACCAUUGACUAUAAAAGGAACCCUAGGGUUGCUAGUAUAAAUCUAGAUGUGUCCCUUUAAGACGUCUGUGAUUGAUGAACAAUUCCCACCCAAAUGUUAAGGGAAGAAAUACUACACAACAACGGUAUAAACUGUGUAAAUUCAUCACCUGGGGCAUGAGGCCCACCGGAUGUUCUUGGGUUUGGAUUGGUUUGGCAGGAAGUGUGAGGAAGCUGAUAACUUGCCAUAUAUCAGCUAAACUGAAGAAAAAGUGAAGGACAGGGUACUUAAAGGGAAAAGAGACAAAGGGAGUUGUGCAAAGUACCAAAGAGGGUGGGGAAGAGCAUGGUUCAGCACUUUAACAUGAGGUCAGGAAUGUCCCAGUGAAAGAUCUCCAGAUGAUCCCAAAUUACCUCAUAUGUUUUGGAAACUGCACUAUGUGAUUGAGUCCUUGAUUGGUUCACCUCUGCAUUUUCCCCUACGUACAGUAAACAAGCAUGAACACUAACACUUCAAUCAUCCCCAUCCCCUCUACUAAGUCUUAGACCAGAAGAGAUGCUGGAGAGAGAUGGCUCCAUUCAUGUGCUCUGGUUCCAUAAGAAGUGCUUCUGCAGUUACCUGUGGAGCAAGUACUCCUGCAGACACUCAAUAAUUACGAGUUCAUUCAUAAUAUUGUCUUCAACUUAUAUAGCUGAAACAUGCACAAAUGUACUGGGAUGGUUGUUUCCAGAUGGUAUGGACUGAUGGAUUAUUGCUAACCCUUAAGAAUUUUAAAGACCAUACAUAUGACAUAAAGGAUACCUCAUACAUUUACUGCUAAAUAGAGUUUGAGAGAUUAGCCUUGGGCCCUUUGUGGUAUCCUGGUGGUCUACUCUCUGCAUGGCUCACAGUCCAAUAGUCAGUACUAAGGCUUGGGGUCUUGAACAUGAAAGGUGCCAUGACCACAGUGCAAGGGACUUAGUUGUGGUUAACAUCAAGCUGAGUUGUUUUAAAAAAAGAUAAACAAGAAUUUUUUUCUGGAGAUUAAUUUUUGAAUCCCUUUUGGGUAUCCAAAGAAUUUUUCAGUAACCUAAGCGUGUCAGCUUUAGAAAGUGCUAAGAAUGUACAACUUUUACAGAAUCUAGACUGAACUGAAAAGAACAAAAAUUUUGGACUGCCAACAUGUACUAAAGAUCCUUUGUAUCUUUCAAUCCACCCCUGCCUUAAACCAAAUUGCUUUACUGCUGCAUAACACAUUGCAGCCUGAAAGCAACCUACAGUAAGCCUACUACAAGAUGUGUCCAUAACACAAUACAUUUAAACUCUGGUGGUUCACAACAGGGCUGCCAUGUUAUCUAAUUGACAAAAGGAAACUUAGACAGAGGAAAAUCCUAUCAAUUUGUUUCUACUAAUCCAAAACAGAAAUAUAGCUGUUGUCACAAGCACUUGUUUAAUUUUCUUCUUGUUUAUAAGCUAAUAAGUAACACUAAAUUAUUUGCGAAAGUUUGUUCCCACUUCACUUUGCAUUCAUAGCUGCAGUAUUAUCUGAUAAUUAAAGGCAAUGCCCUAGUUAAGACUUUACUAUUUUUAUUACCUAUAAUCUAAUUCUCUGAGGAUACUUAGACUUAGACAUACACUAAUGCAAACAUUUUAUGUAACACUUUUAAUAUUAUUUAUGGUACUAUAUAAUCUGAAAACACAAUUAUUCUUGAACAAGGCUUAUAAGGAUAAAUCCAGUUUUAAACUAUGAAUGUAAGGUAGGUCCUUAUUACUGUUUAAAAAAUGUAGUUUUAGGUUGGUUGGAGAUUUUUGUUAAUAUCUUAAGAACAGGUAAGGUGAUUCAGAGCAGAAUCUGUCAACAAAGGAAGCAAAUAAUUGAUUCAAGUAUGUUCCGAUCGUUGUUUCCCACUUGAGUGAUUAAUUCUUGAUUAAGGUAGUGGUAAUAAGGCGGUGCAUUUUUCUGAUACUCUUCCUUGAAGGAAAUUCAGAGUGGUAGCUAUUAGCUCUAAUGACUCUUAAAUGUUUCAAAACCAUCUUGAACAAUCGCCAAGAGGCAGAAAUAAGAAUGUUUGCUGAAGGAACCCAAGGCUUAACUGAAUUAUCUGUUGUCUUAUCCAAAGGACUUUGAAGUAGCAUUACUAAGGGACAAUUUUUUUGUUCUACUCAAGACAGUUACCCAGCACUGAUGAGAGAGAGGAGGGGUGAUAUUUACUCUUCCUAAAACUAAUUUCUGUGAGUCAGGAGCGUGACUCAGGCUGGUCAGUGAUGUUGAUGUUAGCCUUGGAGAGAGACAGCUUGGUUAACCGUGUUGCUUCUUAUCUUUGGGGGUAGAAGGAAAAAAAAAAUAAACAAAAUACUUGUAAUCUGAUCACAGAGCAGCGUAUAACAACACUGCAAUUUAUGAACCAGAUAUUCAGUCAGCAUGAAUUGGAACAGACCCACAAAAUGAGUGAACUCAAUGGAGCCUCACAAACAUCGGCUGACCAUAUGCUCUUAAAGAUAAGAACACGGCUUACAAACCAACACACCUUAAAACGUCUGCAACAGGGAAAAAAAAAAAAAAAAAAAAAAAAAAAAAAAAAGGAAAAAGAAAUAGAUUACCUCGUUGUGGCAUCAUACAUACCAUGAGACCUACAAAAGCUCUCUUGCACCUUCCUAACUACAAUGUAUACUCCCACAGUUUGAGUCCUGGUGCCUGGCAGGUGAGCUGCCUGACAAAUCCUAAUCCAUACUAAGGGACAGACCGAUAGCAGGCCCAGAUGAGCUACAGCAACGUGAUUUUUAACAAAUCCUCCUCUUCAACUGGCCCAAAAUGUUUCCAGGGCCACCAUGCCUGGGUCUUUUUCCACCUUUUAGGAAUUCAAGGGAUUUUGCCAAGGGGAAGAAAGUAAAGAGGAUUGCUCCAAACUGGGGAAGUGCUACAUAGGAAAUGUCCUUGCAAUAGAGUAGCUGCGUGCUCACUGAAUACAUUUUUGAGCUCUGCUAGCAGAUAAUUUGCAGAGUAAUAGCACACAUGCAUUCAAGAGGCAGCCAUGAUCAUAUUGUCUUAUCACAUCCAUACCCUUCCCCCCCCCUUUUUUUAUGCUUUAUGAAAAGCUUCCCAAACAAUUUAUUGUCUUUAUAGCAGUUAUAAGGUUAUUCCACCCUGCUCUAUUUUUUUUUUCUUCUCUCCCAUGCCUGAUCCAAGUCCUUCAGUGGGUCAGACUCCCUCUCAAUUGUAGGAUUUUAUACUUCAUGGCAUUUUUUUUUUCUUUGCAUGUAGCUGCUGCACCUUUGACUGUGUUUUCUCUGGUGUGGGGCUGUGAUGCUGUUCUGUUGUGGCAGCGCCUGGAAAGAACAUGUAAAUGUACAAAGCCCAGUUUAUACUUUCUGAUAUAUUUCAGAUAGAGCAUACAUGAAGAAGACGUUUGUGCAAUAGCUGUUCUUUUUCACAUUCCUUUGUUUACUUCCGUGUUAUCUUUCACCCUCCUGAUAACGCACUAGAAGAACAUAAGAGGAAAAUAAUUAAAUCCAGAACGUUGUGAUGGAAAUGGAGAAGAGCACAAAGCUUCAAGUACUUCGACUUAUCAGAUGCAUUCACAACAGGAAACAACAGGAAACGCAUGAUGCAGGAUACCGAGUUCCUGAAUAGUCAAGAGAAAGAAUUUGGAGCUGAUAAGAAUGCUAACGGGGGUAGAUAGAUAGGCCUCUUAGAUAGGCCUCAUUCCUAAGGGAGGGGCAAUGGCGAUUUGGAGACGAAUGGGCUGAUUUCGUUUUGUUUCACGCGGUGAUUGCUAGGCUAUAUGAGCUGACAAUAGAGCAAUUUGGCCAUGGUGACACCUACAAGAUGAAAGAAAGGGGAAUUGCUCGUAAUCAAGUUGUUGGUUAACCUCAUAGCAAAAGGAAACAGGAUCCGUAGGGAUGCGGAGUGCCGGGAGGAUGAUGAGAAGCGGCCUCCACGGCACCGCGGGGGUGGCAGAGGGCCCAAGGGCAGGGUCCUGGUCUGGGGUGGUCUGCGAAGGCUGACUGUGAUAAACCUCGCUGGUGCUUGGGCUCUGGGGAGUUCUUUGAACAUUGGUUUCUUCAUGCUUGCACGUAAAACGUCUCCUAACCACUCC